CAAAUACUCUCUCCGUCGAAAAAUACUUGUCUUACAAAUGGUUGUAUCUAGAUUUAUUUUAGUUAUAGAUAAGUCCCUUUUAUCAAUUUCUAGGACAAGUAUUUCCGGACAGAUGGAGUAUUCA
rfam:Triticum urartu cultivar G1812 contig232712, whole genome shotgun sequence.